CAAUAGCGUAUAUUUAAGUUGUUGCAGUUAAAAAGCUCGUAGUUGGAUUUCUGCCGAGGACGACCGGUCCGCCCUCUGGGUGUGUAUCUGGUUUGGCCUGGGCAUCUUCUUGGAGAACGUAGCUGCACUUGACUGUGUGGUGCGGUGUCCAGGACUUUUACUUUGAGGAAAUUAGAGUGUUUCAAGCAGGCACACGCCUUGAAUACAUUAGCAUGGAAUAAUAAGAUAGGACCUCGGUUCUAUUUUGUUGGUUUCUAGAGCUGAGGUAAUGAUUAAUAGGGAUAGUUGGGGGCAUUCGUAUUUAACUGUCAGAGGUGAAAUUCUUGGAUUUGUUAAAGACGGACUACUGCGAAANCANNNGCCAAGGAUGUUUUCAUNGA
rnacentral:rRNA from 1 species